GGGGUAUAGCUCAGUUGGCUAGAGCACCUGCUUUGCAAGCAGGGGGUCGUCGGUUCGAUUCCGUCUACCUCC
rnacentral:tRNA from 1 species